rnacentral:rRNA from 1 species
UUCGUAGGGUGCAAGCGUUGUCCGGAAUUAUUGGGCGUAAAGAGCUCGUAGGCGGUCUGUCGCGUCUGCUGUGAAAACUCGGGGCUUAACCCCGGGCCUGCAGUGGGUACGGGCAGACUAGAGUGCGGUAGGGGAGACUGGAAUUCCUGGUGUAGCGGUGAAAUGCGCAGAUAUCAGGAGGAACACCGGUGGCGAAGGCGGGUCUCUGGGCCGUAACUGACGCUGAGGAGCGAAAGCAUGGGGAGCGAACAGG